AUUCAGCCGUCAUCAUUAGCUUCAUUAUUUACACCUGUGCUUUCCCUACUGUGACAUAUCAAAAUGUCUUCUGUGGAAAAAAGGCAGACGGCAGACUUCAGUAUCAGGACUACUAAAAGGAAAAAAAUAAGUUGACAGAUUUCCUGCUGUGUCCCUUAACAAGCUGAAUGAUGGCGGAGUCACACCACAUGCAGUUUGGUAAACAGCGGAGAGUGACAAGACAGAUGGAAGCAGAGAGGAAGAAAGACAGACCAUUGGACAUGCAUAUCUUUGAGUAGUCUGGCGUUGAUGAAUGGCUGCCACAAGCUGUUCCUAUACAGCAGAAUGAAUACUACACACCUACACUGAAACAUAUUGGCUGGUCAGAAACCAACAAAUCUCUCUUAAAUCAUUCAAGUGUACUUUAAACUACAGAACCACAUAAAGGAAUUAAUCCAACAAGUUAUAUACACUGUAAAAAAAAUGUAAAAAUUACGUUUCAUUUGUGAUUAUAUGUAAAAGGUCUUAGAUUUACAGUAUUUUUGUAA